AGCGAACGCUGGCGGCAGGCUUAACACAUGCAAGUCGAACGCCCCGCAAGGGGAGUGGCAGACGGGUGAGUAACACGUGGGAACGUACCCUUUGGUUCGGAAUAACUUGGGGAAACUCAAGCUAAUACCGGACAAGCCCUUAUGGGGAAAGGUUUACUGCCGAAGGAUCGGCCCGCGUCUGAUUAGCUAGUUGGUGAGGCAAUGGCUCACAAAGGCGACGAUCAGUAGCUGGUCUGAGAGGAUGAUCAGCCACACUGGGACUGAGACACGGCCCAGACUCCUACGGGAGGCAGCAGUGGGGAAUAUUGGACAAUGGGGGCAACCCUGAUCCAGCCAUGCCGCGUGAGUGAUGAAGGCCUUAGGGUUGUAAAGCUCUUUUACCCGGGACGAUAAUGACUGUACCGGGAGAAUAGGCCCCGGCUAACUUCGUGCCAGCCGCCGCGGUAA
rnacentral:rRNA from 1 species